AGCGGGGGAAAGCUUGCUUUCCUGCCGGCGAGUGGCGAACGGGUGAGUAAUACAUCGGAACGUGCCCUGUAGUGGGGGAUAACUAGUCGAAAGAUUAGCUAAUACCGCAUACGACCUGAGGGUGAAAGUGGGGGACCGCAAGGCCUCAUGCUAUAGGAGCGGCCGAUGUCUGAUUAGCUAGUUGGUGGGGUAAAGGCCUACCAAGGCGACGAUCAGUAGCUGGUCUGAGAGGACGAUCAGCCACACUGGGACUGAGACACGGCCCAGACUCCUACGGGAGGCAGCAGUGGGGAAUUUUGGACAAUGGGCGAAAGCCUGAUCCAGCAAUGCCGCGUGUGUGAAGAAGGCCUUCGGGUUGUAAAGCACUUUUGUCCGGAAAGAAAUGGCUCUGGUUAAUACCCGGAGUUGAUGACGGUACCGGAAGAAUAAGGACCGGCUAACUACGUGCCAGCAGCCGCGGUAAUACGUAGGGUCCAAGCGUUAAUCGGAAUUACUGGGCGUAAAGCGUGCGCAGGCGGUUGUGCAAGACCGAUGUGAAAUCCCCGGGCUUAACCUGGGAAUUGCAUUGGUGACUGCACGGCUAGA
rnacentral:rRNA from 1 species